GACGAACGCUGGCGGCGUGCUUAACACAUGCAAGUCGAACGGAAAGGUCCUGCUUUUGCGGCGUGCUCGAGAGGCGAACGGGUGAGUAAAACGCGAGUAACCUGCCCUUAUCUUUGGGAUAACUUCAGGAGACUCGGGCGCAUACCGCAUAUGAUCUACUGAUGCAUGGUGUGGGAUGGUGAGAUUCGGCGGUUGGGGAUCGAAUCGAGGCUUAUCCGCCUGUUGGUCGGGUAGGUGCUUACCAAGGCUGUGACGGCUAGGCGGCCUGGGAGGGUUACCGGCCACCUGGGUACUGAGAUACGGAGCAGACGCCUACGGGAGGCAGUAGUGGAGAAUAUGGCACAGCGGGCGGAAGCCUGAUGCAGCAACGCCGCGUGCGGGAUGACGGCCUUCGGGGUGUAAACCGCUUUGGACUGUGACGAAGCGUGAGUGACGGUAAUGGGUAAAGAAGCACCGGCUAACUACGUG
rnacentral:rRNA from 1 species